rnacentral:rRNA from 1 species
GAUGAACGCUGGCGGCGUGCCUAAUACAUGCAAGUCGAGCGAACGGACGAGAAGCUUGCUUCUCUGAUGUUAGCGGCGGACGGGUGAGUAACACGUGGAUAACCUACCUAUAAGACUGGGAUAACUUCGGGAAACCGGAGCUAAUACCGGAUAAUAUUUUGAACCGCAGGGUUCAAAAGUGAAAGACGGUCUUGCUGUCACUUAUAGAUGGAUCCGCGCUGCAUUAGCUAGUUGGUAAGGUAACGGCUUACCAAGGCAACGAUGCAUAGCCGACCGGAGAGGGUGAUCGCCCACACUGGAACUGAGACACGGUCCAUACUCCUACGGGAGGCCGCAGUAGGGAAUCUUCCGCAAUGGGCGAAAGCCUGACGGAGCAACGCCGCGUGAGUGAUGAAGGUCUUCGGAUCGUAAAACUCUGUUAUUAGGGAAGAACAUAUGUGUAAGUAACUGUGCACAUCUUGACGGUACCUAAUCAGAAAGCCACGGCUAACUACGUG